GUCUAUGGCCAUGCUACCCUGAACGUGCCCAAUCUUAUCUGAUCUCGGAAGCUAAGCAGGGUCGGGCCUGAUUAGUACUUGGAUUGGAAACCACCUAGGAAGACCAGGUGCUGUAGGUG
rnacentral:rRNA from 1 species